AUGAAGUUUGUUCUCAAACUUCCCUUUCUAGUUUACUAAAUGCAUUCUGUCUGAAGUUUAUUUGCUCUUAUAUUAUAUUCUAUGGUCUCUCUAUCCAGAUUGCUAUACUGCUGAGCUACUGUACCUGCGGUUUGUGCGACCUGCGACUUUAAUUGCUAUUCCUGAGCGAUUUUUUGGCUUCCCCUUUAGUUCGAUCAAUUCUAUUCUGGUCUGAGCUUGGGGAAAGCCACUUUCUACUGAGGGUCUCCCUUGGGUGCCCCGGCCUUGUGCCGGUCCUCAAGUGUGAGGAACCCCUCACUAUACGAACCAGAAGAGUUUAACAUCUGGCACUUCUGGUUCCAACGGCACCUUCUGGCACACCUUUUUUAGAGGUGGCUGUACUUUGAGGCAGCAGAAUGCCAGAGGUAAAGGUGCUUUUCGCAGUCCUGGAGGACUAUAUUCAUCAACAGAGCUUCGAUGAGGCCAUUUUUGGCUACUAUGAACAUCAAUACAUUCAAAGAUUUCCGGACAUCGACGACUGG